rnacentral:rRNA from 1 species
UACGUAGGGCGCGAGCGUUGUCCGGAAUUAUUGGGCGUAAAGAGCUCGUAGGUGGCGUGUCGCGUCUGCCGUGAAAGCCCAUGGCUUAACUGUGGGUCUGCGGUGGAUACGGGCAGGCUGGAGGCUGGUAGGGGCAAGCGGAAUUCCUGGUGUAGCGGUGAAAUGCGCAGAUAUCAGGAGGAACACCGGUGGCGAAGGCGGCUUGCUGGGCCAGUUCUGACGCUGAGGAGCGAAAGCGUGGGGAGCGAACAGG